GAUGAAGAACGUAGCGAAAUGCGAUACUUGGUGUGAAUUGCAGAAUCCCGUGAACCAUCGAGUCUUUGAACGCAAGUUGCGCCCGAAGCCACUAGGCCGAGGGCACGCCUGCCUGGGCGUCACACGCCGUUGCCCCCCCAUCUACUCCUUCGGGAUUGCGGGGGGGCGGAUGAUGGCCUCCCGUGCGCCUAGCCGCGCGGUUGGCAUAAAUACCAAGUCCUCGGCGACGCACGCCACGACAAUCGGUGGUUGCGAAACCUCGGUUGCCCGUCGUGUGCGUUCGUCGCGCAUCGAGGGCUCGAAAAAAUGCUCGGCUCCGGCUGGGCUUUCAACGCGACCCCAGGUCAGGCGGGGUUAACCGCUGAAUUUAAGCAUAUCAAUAAGCGGAGGA
rnacentral:misc_RNA from 1 species